AUUGAACGCUAGCGGGAUGCUUUACACAUGCAAGUCGAACGAGUGGCGGACGGGUGAGUAACGCGUAGUAACCUACCUCUAAGUGGCGGAUAGCUUCGGGAAACUGUAGUAAUACCGCAUGCUUGGUGGGGGCUUUCGUCCGAUUAGCUAGUUGGUGGGGUAAUGGCCUACCAAGGCUACGAUCGGUAGCUGGUCUGAGAGGAUGAUCAGCCACACUGGGACUGAGACACGGCCCAGACUCCUACGGGAGGCAGCAGUGGGGAAUUUUGGACAAUGGGGGAAACCCUGAUCCAGCCAUCCCGCGUGUGUGAUGAAGGCCUUCGGGUUGUAAAGUACUGUUGCAGAGAAGCGGUAUCUGCAGAAUAAGCACCGGCUAACUACGUGCCAGCAGCCGCGGUAAAC
rnacentral:rRNA from 1 species